UAGCUCACAUGAUGCAUACACGGAACAGGACACUCACACGUGACGAUAACCUGCACAAAAACAGCAGAUAUCACUGGACCUUCAAAGAGCUGAGCCCAAACAGCGUCGCGUCCGCGUCUACAGCGACGCCAAAGCACUUCGGUGUGUUUUGACUGGAGCGUCAUGGAGAUAAUCUGGAGUACGAGGAGCAGACGGAGCUCAGGGCACACGUACCAUCCAGAAGCUGCGGCUGUUGGCGUCCUCGGGGUUGUCUGACGGCGGCGCCGACAUGCUGUUCUCUGCGAAAGCGAAAUGAAAAUGCUGUGAGUUCACAGAGUGCAGAUAUCACAUGCAGGUGGCGGCAGUGAUGCACCAAUGUCUGAAGUGUCAACCGCCAAUAAAACCCACGAAGAAGAAGAAUGAACAAAAAGGGGAGGAAGCGCAGUUGCUGGUUCUACUUGACCAGCAAAGUUGUAGAAAGAGGUGGAUUUGAGAAGUGAAGCUGCUCAGACCGGAGGAGUAUCAGGUGGUGGUCCCCUCAACCGUUCUGCCUCAUGUUGGAUUUAUUUAAAAAAAUGCUCCUACUGUAUUUGUCCUGACUAAAUAAAAAUUAUCUUAAAAAAAUUGUCUAAGGUGAAUCAGUUUUGUAACUAUGAUUAACUAAAAAGGAAUUGUGAUAACAGUAUUCAUUUACUACAAAAAGGUUUUGCAUAAAGUGUAUGAGAAAAGUAUAGGCUACAUUUUAUGAAGCUCAAAACAAUGAAUGUGCCAGUUACUGGCACGUUCUGAAUUUUAUUUUAUUAUGAUGCCUAAUCUGGUGCACAUGCUUUUGCUUGCCAUUUAAAUUUGUAUUUUCAGCAUGUGGGGGAUUGCAAAAAAGAACGGUGUUUAACAAUUCAAAGUUCAGUUAAUUAAACUUUAUUAUUCUGGAUUACACAUGGCUGGGUUCAGAUGUUCUGCCGCUUUAAGGUUUUGUUUGUCUGAUUUACUUUAUGGUGGUUCAUAAAUCUAAAAAUGAUUAACUGUUCAGAACAAGUUAUAGUUUAAGCAGGGAAAAUGCAUGCCUUUU